rnacentral:rRNA from 1 species
UACGUAGGGUGCAAGCGUUGUCCGGAAUUAUUGGGCGUAAAGAGCUCGUAGGCGGCUUGUCGCGUCGUCCGUGAAAACUUGGGGCUCAACCCCAAGCUUGCGGUCGAUACGGGCAGGCUCGAGUUCGGUAGGGGAGACUGGAAUUCCUGGUGUAGCGGUGGAAAUGCGCAGAUAUCAGGAGGAACACCGGUGGCGAAGGCGGGUCUCUGGGCCGAUACUGACGCUGAGGAGCGAAAGCGUGGGGAGCGAACAGG